GAUGAACGCUGGCGGCGUGCCUAAUACAUGCAAGUCGAGCGAACGGACGAGAAGCUUGCUUCUCUGAUGUUAGCGGCGGACGGGUGAGUAACACGUGGAUAACCUACCUAUAAGACUGGGAUAACUUCGGGAAACCGUAGCUAAUACCGGAUAAUAUUUUGAACCGCAUGGUUCAAAAGUGAAAGACGGUCUUGCUGUCACUUAUAGAUGGAUCUGCGCUGCAUUAGCUAGUUGGUAAGGUAACGGCUUACCAAGGCAACGAUGCAUAGCCGACGUGAGAGGGUGGUCGGCCACACUGGAACUGGGACACGGUCCAGACUCCUACGGGAGGCAGCAGUAGGGAAUCUUCCGCAAUGGGCGAAAGCCUGACAGAGCAACGCCGCGUGAGUGAUGAAGGUCUUCGGAUCGUAAAACUCUGUUAUUAGGGAAGAACAUAUGUGUAAGUAACUGUGCACAUCUUGACGGUACCUAAUCAGAAAGCCACGGCUAACUACGUG
rnacentral:rRNA from 1 species